rnacentral:rRNA from 1 species
GAAUAUUGGACAAUGGGCGGAAGCCUGAUCCAGCCAUGCCGCGUGUGUGAAGAAGGCCUUUUGGUUGUAAAGCACUUUAAGCGAGGAGGAGGAGCUCUUGGUUAAUACCCAAGAUGCUUGGACGUUACUCGCAGGAUAAGCACCGGCGACCUCUGUGCCAGCAGACGCGGUAAUACAGAGGGUGCAAGCGUUAAUCGAAUUUACUAGGCGACAAGCGGUCUUAGGUGGCCAAUUAAGUCAAAUGUGAAAUCCCCGAGCUUAACUUGGGAAUUGCAUUCGAUACUGGUUGGCUAGAGUAUGAGAGAGGAUGGUAGAAUUCCAGGUGUAGCGGUGAAAUGCGUAGAGAUCUGGAGGAAUACCGAUGGCGAAGGCAGCCAUCUGGCCUAAUACUGACACUGAGGUGCGAAAGCAUGGGGAGCAAACA